rnacentral:rRNA from 1 species
AUUGAACGCUGGCGGCAGGCCUAACACAUGCAAGUCGAGCGGAUGAAGGGAGCUUGCUCCUGGAUUCAGCGGCGGACGGGUGAGUAAUGCCUAGGAAUCUGCCUGGUAGUGGGGGAUAACGUCCGGAAACGGGCGCUAAUACCGCAUACGUCCUGAGGGAGAAAGUGGGGGAUCUUCGGACCUCACGCUAUCAGAUGAGCCUAGGUCGGAUUAGCCAGUUGGUGGGGUAAAGGCCUACCAAGGCGACGAUCCGUAACUGGUCUGAGAGGAUGAUCAGGCACACUGGAACUGAGACACGGUCCCGACUCCUACGGGAGGCAGCAGUGGGGAAUAUUGGGCAAUGGGCCAAAGCCUGGUCCCGCCAUGCCGCGGGUGUGAAGAAGGUCUUCUGAUUGUAAAACACUUUAAGUUGGGAGGAAGGACAGUAAGUUUAUACCUUGCUGUUUUGACGUUACCAACAGAAUAAGCACCGGCUAACUUCGUG